rnacentral:rRNA from 1 species
AUUGAACGCUGGCGGCAGGCCUAACACAUGCAAGUCGAACGAGUGGCGGACGGGUGAGUAAUGUCUGGGAACCUGCCUGAUGGAGGGGGAUAACUACUGGAAACGGUAGCUAAUACCGCAUACCAUCAGAUGUGCCCAGAUGGGAUUGGCUUGUUGGUGGGGUAACGGCUCACCAAGGCGACGAUCCCUAGCUGGUCUGAGAGGAUGACCAGCCACACUGGAACGGAGACAGGGACAAGACGCCUAAGGGAGGCAGCAGUGGGGAAUAGUGCACAAGGGGCGCAAGUCUGACGCAGCCAGGCCGAGUGUAUGAAGAAGGCCGUCGGGUUGUAAAGUACUUUUAGCGGGGAGGCGGUACCCGCAGAAGAAGCACCGGCUAACUCCGUGCCAGCAGCCGCGGUAAUAC